CGGAUUGCAGGCUGCAACCCGCCUGCAUGAAGUUGGAAUCGCUAGUAAUCGCGGAUCAGCAUGCCGCGGUGAAUACGUUCCCGGGCCUUGUACACACCGCCCGUCACACCAUGAGAGUCGGGGACACCCGAAGUCCGUAGUCUAACCGCAAGGGGACGCGGCCGAAGGUGGAUUCGAUAAUUGGGGUGAAGUCGUAACAAGGUACC
rnacentral:rRNA from 1 species